GCGGGUGUGGUUCAAUGGUAGAACUCCAGCUUCCCAAGCUGGUGGCGAGGGUUCGAUUCCCUUCACCCGCUCCA
rnacentral:tRNA from 1 species